CCUACGGGAGGCAGCAGUGGGGAAUAUUGGGCAAUGGGCGCAAGCCUGACCCAGCAACGCCGCGUGAGGGAAGAAGGUUUUCGGGUCGUAAACUUCUGUUGUCAGGGAAGAGUGGAAGACGGUACCUGACGAAUAAGCCACGGCUAACUACGUGCCAGCAGCCGCGGUAAUACGUAGGCGGCAAGCGUUGUCCGGAUUUACGGGGGGUAAAGGGCGUGUAGCCGGGUUGACAAGUCAGAUGUGAAAUCCUGCGGCUUAACCGCAGAACUGCAUUUGAAACUGUUGAUCUUGAGUGCUGGAGAGGCAGGCGGAAUUCCAAGUGUAGCGGUGAAAUGCGUAGAUAUUAGGAGGAACACCAGUGGCGAAGGCGGUCUGCUGGACAGCAACUGACGGUGAGGCGCGAAAGCGUGGGGAGCAAACAGGAUUAGAUACCCGUGUAGUC
rnacentral:rRNA from 1 species